AGUGAACGCUGGCGGUAGGCCUAACACAUGCAAGUCGAACGAGUGGCGGACGGGUGAGGAAUACAUCGGAAUCUACUCUGUCGUGGGGGAUAACGUAGGGAAACUUACGCUAAUCCCGCAUACGUUUGUAUGAGCCGAUGUUGGAUUAGCUAGUUGGCGGGGUAAAGGCCCACCAAGGCGACGAUCCGUAGCGGGUCUGAGAGGAUGAAGGGCAAAAAUGUAGCUAGGACACGGUCCAGACUCCUAUGGGAGGCAGCAGUGGGGAAUAUUGGACAAUGGGAGCAAGCCGGAUCCAGCCAUACCGCGUGGGUGAAGAAGGCCUUCGGGUUGUAAAGCCCUUUUGUUGGGAAGGCGGUACCCAAAGAAUAAGCACCGGCUAACUUCGUGCCAGCAGCCGCGGUAAUAC
rnacentral:rRNA from 1 species